UCCCCUGAAAUGAAUAACGCCGUGACGUCACCAUCGAGGCGCAAAAAGUACUGAGUGCGCUGUUUUUCGUUAACAUCGAUUGUCUCGUGGUGUUCAGUUUAAAUUUUAAAUUUGUACAGUCUGUGGUGUUGUUAUACACAAUUAUAAUGGACAAAGAACAACCUGGGUGAUGAAUGUCUCCCUCAUGUCGAGGUUCAACCUCAGCGGACAGACCAGGCCGAAUUUAGAACCAAAAAUUGGAGUAAAGCACACUGCCGUGUAUACUGUCAUAAAAGCUAGUGUUAGCCAAAGUAUUAGCCACACUGAAAAAGACUUAGAGGAUGUCAUCUCAAAAAUCUUGAAGUAUGCGCCUGAUAGAAAAGGCGGAGUGGGCCGAAGGCUGGAAAAAACAUCACCUUAAUGUGAAGUCAACAGACUCUGGACCAUAUUAAACAGAUAAAAUAGCAAUAUGUGCUAGGUAAAAGAAUUUAUCAGAACAUUUCAGAAUUGUGAUGCUUCUAUUUUGAUCGGUCUGUCACUCUGUCUAUGAACGCUACUCAUUAGUUUGCUCUUUUGAGACAGUAUUUUAUCAAGAAUCUCAUGAAAUGUUGUAAUAGUAAAAGAUCAAAAUAAUAAUUUGAUUUAUUCAACUAUGUUAAUCUUCUGUUAAUUGUCAAUUUGUUUAUUGACAACAGAUACUUUGUUUAAUAUUAAAAACAUUUCAACGCGUUAUAGAAGCUGUAAGGAAUUUAUAAUAUUUGGAUAAUUCAUGCACACAUUGUUGGAAAAAACAAUUUAAAUAAAGUGAAAUUUAGAUGGUUAUCUUAAUUUGAAUGGAGAUAGUUCGUUAAUAAACAUUAUUAUGUAUAAUAUUGUUAAACGAUUAGAAAAGGACUCUCGUUAUUAGUAUGAUAUUGUUAACGAUUAGAAAAGGACUCUCGUUAUUAAACAUUAUUAUGUAUAAUAUUGUUAAACGAUUAGAAAAGGACUCUCGUUAUUAAACAUUAUUAUGUAUAAUAUUGUUAAACGAUUAGAAAAGGACUCUCGUUAUUAAACAUUAUUAUGUAUAAUAUUAAUUACUCUACAAGUAAUUUUGUUUCCAAAUGAUUGUUUUCAUGAUUAAUGAUCCUAGUUAGGGUUGUAGAUUGUUCUUGUUGGAUUAUAUACUGACAUGCUCAUCAUUUGUGUUUACAUUUGCAUUUUAGCAUUAAAAGUUCAUUAUGCUUUAUAUAUUUGUAUGUAGACAUAUUGAUGACCAGCUUUUCAUCUAAUGUAAUAAGUAAGUAACCUAACAAAGAUAUCUGUGUAUACUAUGAAUAGGUGUAUUUUGUCAUUUUUAUAUAGAUCAACAGCAAAGCAUAUAUUUUAAUGAUAUACAUCUUUUACAUGUUAAGCAAUAGAGUAAAUGAAUUGCUAUGGAUGAAUGCGCAUUAUACUUAUAGAUAAUACAGACCUGCAUAAUAUCGGAUUAUGAACAUAAAAAUAUACGUUUAGCAAUCGAAAUACCUUGUUUAAUUUCAUGAUUUUCAGUUAAUCAAAUGUUUAUUUAUGAACAUAAAAAUAUACGUUUAGCAAAAGAAAUACCUUGUUUAAUUUCAUGCUUUUCAGUUAAUAAAAUUAGGCAAUAACUAUCUCGUGGAAAUUAGUGAAUAACAUUUCAAGGGAGAAUAUUGUGACAUGAUAUAUAGGAGUUGUCUCUCUUGUUUGAGUAUUAUUGUACCUCUAAACAAGUAAAUUCAUACAUUAAUUCAAAUUAAUCCACACUAUAAACCCAUAUUUUGGUCAUAUAUGGAAUAAUGAAAUAUUGUUUGCGUAAUUGUUUAUUUUUAUGUAUUAUACCGAAGCCAUCUGUAAUGACAUUUAUUAAAAUAUUAAUAUUAAUAUUUGAAUGGCCAUACAGUGCUAAAAGUUUGGUAUUCUGACUAUUUUAAGUGCAUGUUCUGCACAAAAUAUCAGAUUGUGUAUUAAAACACUGUUGUAAUACUUCUUAAUUAUUUUAUAUUUGACAAGCAUUGACUUGUUUUUGCUUGUAACAGUUGUCCAGUGUUGAACUAUAGCUGUUAAUAAUAAUAACAAUUAUUGUGACAAUUUUCCAGUUUUGAAUUAUUGCUUUCAGUUGAUUGUUUACCAGUUAUGUAACAGCUGUUUUCAUGUUAACCGCUCCACAUUACGUGUUGGUGAAGCGCAUUAACGGCCCCCAGUUUCCAUAAAACUCCAAAUUCAGCUAAUGUCUUAAGACUGGAUGUGGUUGUUUAUUUUCAACUUUGUUAUGCAUGAAACAUGUCAGUUUUGUUGUUACUCUUGAACAGAAGUUUUUAUAGGACCAAAUUGUGUCAUAUUUCAAAUUAAUGAUAUUAUUAUGCCCCCCUUCGAAGAAGAGGGGGUAUAUUGUUUUGCACAUGUUGGUCGGUCGGUCCGUCCACCAGAUGGUUUCCGGAUGAUAACUCAAGAACGCUUAGGCCUAGGAUCAUGAAACUUCAUAGGUACAUUGAUCAUGACUGGCAGAUGACCCCUAUUGAUUUUCAGGUCACUAGGUCAAAGGUCAAGGUCACAGUGACUCGAAAUAGUAAAAUGGUUUCCUGAUGAUAACUCAAAAACACUUAGGCCUAGGAUCAUGAAACUUCAUAGGUACAUUGAUCAUGACUGGCAGAUGACCCCUAUUGAUUUUAAAGUCAAAGGUCAAUGUCACAGUGACUCGAAAUAGUAAAAUGGUUUCCGGAUGAUUACUCAAGAAGCUUACGCCUAGGAUCAUGAAACUUCAUAAGUACAUUGAUCAUGACUGGCAGAUGACCCCUAUUGAGUUUCAGGUCACUAGGUCAAAGGUCAAGGUCACAGUGACUCAAAAUAGUAAAAUGGUGUCCUGAUGAUAACUCAAGAAUGCUUACGCCUAGGAUCAUGAAACUUCAUAGGUACAUUGAUCAUGACUGGCAAAUGAACCCUAUUGAUUUUCAGGUCACUAAGUCAAAGGUCAAGGUCACAGUGACUUGAAACAGUAAAAUGGUUUCCUGAUGAUAACUCAAGAAUAAUUAGGCCUAGCUAGGAUCAUGAAACUUCAUAGGUACAUUGAUCAUGACUGGCAGAUGACCCCUUUUCAUUUUCAUGUCACUAGGUCAAAGGUCAAGGUCAAAUUGUCAGAUUUUAAAAUUACUCGGUACAUUUGUUCACAAUCAUUGGACGGUGUGUCAUGCGAAAAAAUUAAGUCGAUAUCUCCAAGGUAAAGGUCACACUUGGAGUUCAAGUCAAAAAUGGCCAUUAAUGAGCUUGUCUGGGCCAUAACUUUGUCAUUCAUUGUGAGAUUUUAAAAUGACUGUACAUUAAUUUUGUUCACAGUCAUUGGACGGCGUGUAAUGCGAAAGAGUUCAAAGGUCAAAAUGGCCAUAAAUUAUAUUGGCAUAAUAAUUAUUAAAAAUCGCCAUAAAUUAGCUUCUCUUGUUUUUUGAAGACAGCAUGCAAAAUAUUCUGUGUUAAUGCAGCAUGUGGGAGUAUAUGUCACGUCUGUGACAAAGCUCUAGUUGUAAAUAUACUUUUUUGAAAACCUGGUUUUGUGACAAUUUUGUCCCUUGUUAUGCUAUUAAAGGCAAAUAAAAUUGCAUGUAAAUAUG